UAAAUAGCGCCCUCAAGUGCUAAAUCAACGCGAUUUUUUUACAACACGGCCGGAGGCGCGACAUUGUAACUUCAUGAAUUUUGGUGAUUACUACCGGUAUCAGUGGAAGUCAAGGAGAGAAAAGAUGGCAAGACUCCAUCUGAGAUUUGCUCUUGGCUAGACCAGAACUUGCCACUGGAAAUUUGACAGUCAAAUUGAGAGUUCAUGGGUCCAUUCUUGGCAUACAUCUAGCAAUGCAGCUUCACAUACAGCAGGUGAAAGUACUGGAAAUGGAAAGCUAGUAUGGUGUAAUGUGUACACCUUGCAUGCAGCUAAUUACUGACACCGGGUACAUGUACAGAGACUGAAGAAUCAGGUUGUUGCUGCCUGCGGCACCUGAAUCCAAUGACCCAGGAAAUACAGAACAACGGAGCAAGAGGAUACAGGAAGUCCGACGUUCCGUGAGAUGAAGAAUCCCCCGUGGUCAUUGUGGGAUCUCUGUUCUUUGUAUGAGGUACAGUUCAGGCGUUAGAUUGAAAAUUAGUAACGACUGUUUCAACUGUACUUGUUUAGAAAGAGGGUAUUACUGGAUGCAGAUAACUUUGUAUUUCAUGGAGACUUUUGAAUUUUGGGAUGCAAGGCUUUAAAAUAAUGCCGGAUGUGGCAGAGAAGAUACUCAAUACUUCCUUGAAAUGAAUGAGCAUGCAUAUUUGUAAAUUUUAAUGAAGUACAUGUUCAUGUAUAUGGAAAUGCUUGAUAGUUUGGGGGUUUUGUUUCCUUUGUUUUGGUUUGCAUUUCUGCAGAACAAGAUUCAGAUGUAAAAUUCUUUAAGAAUUCUUGUGGUAGAUUUCAAGGAUUGAUGAGACUAAUGAUAUUUUUGCCAUAAACUUUGCCACACCCUCUUGAAACAAACAAAAUAGCCUGUUUAGUCAGCUCAAACAUUUGUCUAAAAAUCUCAUUGGGGGGAGUUGUAAUUCAGAGAUUGGGUUUGCAGGCUGAGUGAGCCACUAAAAAUGUCCACAUUUCAACACCCCUACGAAAGCUUUACCCUUACUGCUAACUACAAAUACCAGUAUGAACAUUAUGCUGUCAGGCCUGACUGUCACAUGUACAUGUAAGUAAUCAUGUCUUAGCAAAGACGUCUAUUUUAAGAGGAAAACGAUACAGAAAUUGAGACAGCCUGCAAGUGCAUAUCGGUGUCUGUUACUGAUGAAUUUUCUCAGGCGUUUCAGGAAAUGUAGUGGCUAUUUCAUGUGCAAAUAAAGCAGGAGGAAGCCCUCUGUAAGUAUAACUGAAAAUAGGACAACCCCAAAAUAGAACUGUGGUUGUAAGAGAAGUCAGGAGGUGUACAGUCUGCACCAGUCUGACUUAAUCCCGUCUCCCCCACCACAUCCCAAACUCCACAUCCCCCCCCCGAGGUAUUCUGUGAUGGUUUCUCUCACCAUACUGGUACAUGUGAACCAUGUCUACAAUGUAUGUCCAAGGUCAGGCACAGAUACAGAGGGGGUCAACCCCCCCAACACACACACAAUUGAAAUAAACACGAAAUAAAAAUUUCAGUAGCAAUAAAAAGAUGACAUCUUACAGUUACUUGUAUAAGGUGAAGUGUAUCACCAGUGUGUAAUGCAUUGCCUAUGUGUCUGCCUAUCUGCUACAAAUGGACUUUAAAAAUCUGAUCCCACUUGAGCAUGCUUGGGUUUUUUUCACAAGCCUUUGGGCCAAACACCGAGUACACAGUGUUAUAAUACACGUCGGGGGCAGGGUAAUAAUCCCAAGUUAAAAUUGAGUUACAGUCACUCUAGCUUCACACGUACAUGAUACAUAAUAUUACAUGUAGCCAUAUGCUCUGUUCCUGUUUGCACAUUUUUGUGUACUCUCAACAGAAGUCACCUUUAUCUUGUGCUUUUUUGUCAUCCAGAGAGAGAAGUCAAUAAAGAAAUCUCAAAUAAAUUUGACUGCCAACGAAGAUGAUCACUGUCAAUAAAAUCUCCUCAAUUUGGUGUUCCUUGACCCCUCCCCCUUCAACAUUUACUACAAAAUAUUGAUAUCUGUUCAGGGAAAACAAGUUCUUGUUUAUAGUGCAAAUUAGCUGACUUAAGAGACCAUGACUGUUGAUUAGAAAUAUAAAUAUAUAAAGGAAAAUGUUUCCAUCAAGCAUAAAAAAUUUACAUGUUCAUGUAUCUUGGUAAUUGUUUAGAUCUGUUAAAAUCAUCAUCAUCUGAAUGAUACAAUCCUUUUUCGUCAUCAUAAUGUCCUUCAAAUAUAUGUUUAGAUGAUCUUUGUAAAUACUGAAAUACCUGUGUAGGGUUUAUGAACUCAGCAUGUGGAUGAAUGUUACUCUCCAUAUGCACAGGUUGUCUGCUUCUCGUUCCGGUCAAUUGUUCCACAGUUUAUAAUUCUUACACGCUCAUCUGAGACAUUCAGGCAGACUAUACAAGUAUUUACCAUACCAAUUCUUCAAAAGUCAAGUUAAAACAAUGUUUGAUAGGAUACAUACAUCCUUAGUAAAAUAAAUAGCAUUUCAAGCAGCAGGGGAAAAGGACCGCAGGCAGUUUGUAUCAUGUUCCAGGUGAAUAAUUGAUGGUUACGCAUCUCACUAGUGUUGAGUUUAAAAAGAGUGGGGCUGCCUUGCUCCAUUUAGAGUGAAAUGCGAUCUGACAAGGGGAAUAUUAGUUGAUGGAAUUAAUGACGUGGUUUUGAUCUGACCAGAUGGGACCAUGCAAUUUAUGAGCCUACCUGCUGGGGUUGACUAGGUUAACUCGCAAGUGCAUGUUGGUGUUGAAAUGCCUUUUUGUUUCAUAAUUGCAGCCAUGAAAUUACACGAUAAAGGGACUACCAUGAAUCACGUUUUCAUAUGUAGUCAGCAGGGUUCUAGAUGUAAUUUACAUGUAUUUUGUUUCAUUUAACUGUGUGCUCAGUUGCGUUGUAUUUAUCAUAAUUCCUGCUGAAGCUGUUGAAUUUAACAAUUUAAAUGUCUGUGAACUUUGUGUUUCUUUUGCAUAAAUUCGGGUUCUUAGAUUAGCUGA